UACAUGGGGUGCAAACGUUGCUCGGAAUUAUUGGGCGUAAAGCGCACGUAGGCGGUUCGUUAAGUCGGAUGUGAAAGCCCUCGGCUCAACUGAGGAAGUGCACCCGAAACUGGCGAGCUUGAGUACGAAAGAGGAUCGCGGAAUUCCCGGUGUAGAGGUGAAAUUCGUAGAUAUCGGGAGGAACACCGGUGGCGAAAGCGAGGUCCUGGACGCCUACUGACGCUGAGACGCGAAAGCCAGGGGAGCGAACGGG
rnacentral:rRNA from 1 species